CGGAGCAGCGGCUGUAUAUAAACCGCCGGUAAUAAAAAAUGCCAGUAUGUAGAUUUGCGCUUUUGUGCUGGUGAGGCAACUUGUGCUGUCACACUUGUUAAGUCAGCAAUCGCAUUUUUAUCUCUGAUACUCCAGAAAUUCGGAUGCCGCUUGGCCUAUUCGAUCACAGAUUCACGAGAGCAACUGCUUCGUUUUCAGUCUCGUCUUUCAGGCAGUGGAUAGGAUGUCGUCAUCAAGAAUAUGGAUCGCCGUAGUUAUAAUGGCCAUGUUGCUGACGGUUUCACCACCAACAGAGGCUGGACCGGCAGCGUACGGGAUCUGCCAGGCCGGAUGCGCUGCUGUCGCGGUAGCGUGCUACGCAGCGGGAGGCGCCGUGUUCGGCACAGUGACGGCCGGUGUCGGUAUCCCGGCCGCCAUUGUGGCUUGUAACAGCGCGUUCGGGACGUGUCAGGCAGCGUGCUGGGCAGCUCUGCUCGCUCCUACACCGUAGUCCGGGUAAAUCCCAGUUGUCAAGUGCUAUGGUAUAUCGUUAUCAGAGUGAUCCGUCUGCAGUUCCAAAUGUUCGCGGUGAUUAAAAUGAGCAAGUGCGUCAUAAUACUUUGAUAAUUUUGUUUAAACCACUGAUUUGGUCUACUGUCAUGCUAUUUAUUCCUGUAUUGGAAUUUUGUAGCAAUUUAUCGAGCACAUGCAAACUGUUUAGUAUCAAAAAUUUUGUGUUUUAAAUUUGUUAGCCAUGGCACAAUAAUUAAAACUAAACAUUAACCUGUGAUAA